AUGUCUUGCAAUUGGAUUGAGAACAAUGUACAACUCUUAUCGAUAAGCCAUUGGAGGGCAAGUCUGGUGCCAGCAGCCGCGGUAAUUCCAGCUCCAAUAGCGUAUAUUAACGUUGUUGCAGUUAAAAAGCUCGUAGUUGAAGUGUGGGUGAUCGCUGUUGUGAGACUUCGGUCUCUCGACAGUAAGUCACCCCCUUCCAGUAUCCAGUAGUGGGUAUUCAGUUACUUACUAUUGUGUGUUGGUCGUUUACUGUGAGAAAAUUAGAGUGUUCAAAGCAGGCGUUUGCUUGAAUAGAUUAGCAUGGAAUAAUAAUUGAAGGCUUUCGUGUUCGAUUUGAUUGGUUUGUUCAUGGAAGCAAGGUUAAAAGGAACAGUUGGGGGUAUUCAUAUUCACUAGUUAGAGGUGAAAUUCUCGGAUUUAUGGAA
rnacentral:rRNA from 1 species